rnacentral:rRNA from 1 species
UACGUAGGGGGCAAGCGUUUGUCCGGAAUCAUUGGGCGUAAAGAGCGUGUAGGCGGCUUGGUAAGUCCGCUGUGAAAGUCCAGGGCUCAACCCUGGAAUGCCGGUGGAAACUGUCAAGCUUGAGUCCGGAAGAGGCGAGUGGAAUUCCUGGUGUAGCGGUGAAAUGCGCAGAUAUCAGGAGGAACACCAAUGGCGAAGGCAGCUCGCUGGGGACGGUACUGACGCUGAGACGCGAAAGCGUGGGGAGCAAACAGG